rnacentral:rRNA from 1 species
UACGUAGGGUGCAAGCGUUGUCCGGAAUUAUUGGGCGUAAAGAGCUCGUAGGCGGUCUGUCGCGUCGGAUGUGAAAAUCCAGGGCUCAACCCUGGACCUGCAUUCGAUACGGGCAGACUAGAGUUCGGCAGGGGAGACUGGAAUUCCUGGUGCAGCGGUGAAAUGCGCAGAUAUCAGGAGGAACACCGGUGGCGAAGGCGGCAUCCUGGACCAAUUCUGACGCUGAGGAGCGAAAGCUAGGGGAGCAAACGGG